rnacentral:rRNA from 1 species
CGUAGGGUGCGAGCGUUAAUCGGAAUUACUGGGCGUAAAGUGUGCGCAGGCGGCUCCGCAAGUCGAGUGUGAAAUCCCCGAGCUUAACUUGGGAAUUGCGCUCGAAACUACGGAACUGGAGUGUGGCAGAGGAAGGUGGAAUUCCACGUGUAGCGGUGAAAUGCGUAGAGAUGUGGAGGAACACCGAUGGCGAAGGCAGCCUUCUGGGCCAACACUGACGCUCAUGCACGAAAGCGUGGGGAGCAAACAGGAUUAGAUACCCUGGUAGUCCACGCCCUAAACGAUGAUGACUAGUUGUUGGAGGAGUUAAAUCCUUUAGUAACGCAGCUAACGCGUGGAGUCAUCCGCCUGGGGAGUACGGUCGCAAGAUUA